rnacentral:lncRNA from 1 species
AUUAUAGUUGAUGCAUUAUCCACAUUACAAUAAUUAAAACUGCAAGUGACAAACCAGUGUCAAAGUUAUUUAAUCAAAAGACUAUAAAGUAUAACAUUUUCAGAAUUUGAAAUGUUUGCAAACAUAAAAUCAUUUUAACAUAUUUAAGCCAGUCAUAAAUAUGAUAUAAUGGUGGUGUUUUAAUUCCUGAACUAAGCAAAACAAUAAUAUAUGGUUAACGAUAAGAAUAUGUGGACCUUUUCUACAAACCGUCAACAUAAUGUUCCACUCCGGGAGGAACAGUGCAUCUAACAUAAAUAAUAUUACCAGAAAUAGUUCAAGUCAACAGUAUUUUUUUUUUCCAUUUUAAAGGUCAUUAUAUUACCCAUUGAGUGCACACAAGAUUUUUCUUAAAACUCAAUGUAUUUUGCUUUUAAUAAUUACAAUCAACACCAG